rnacentral:rRNA from 1 species
UACGUAGGGCGCAAGCGUUAUCCGGAAUUAUUGGGCGUAAAGAGCUCGUAGGCGGUUUGUCGCGUCUGCCGUGAAAGUCCGGGGCUCAACUCCGGAUCUGCGGUGGAUACGGGCAGGCUGGAGGCUGGUAGGGGCAGCGGAAUUCCUGGUGUAGCGGUGAAAGUGCGCAGCUAUACAGGAGGAACACCGAAGCGAAGGCAGGUUCACUGGGUGCCACCUGGACACUGGCUAGGACGAAAGCCGUGGGGAGCGAAUGGG